rnacentral:lncRNA from 1 species
UUAGUAGUAGAUAAAGAAGAAAAUUUAACUCAAUAACAACUUGAGAAAUAAAAAUGAAGGUAAAAUCAAGGCCUAAGCUUCAAUUGCACAUGUUAGUGAAUUGUGAAUUAAAUAAAAAAAAAUGCCCAAAUGCAUAUUGGACUAUUGAAGUUAAAAUCGGAGAUGUGAUGUUGGCAACUUGUUUUUUAACCAUUUAGUAGAGUUAAAAAAUAGUAUUUUAGAUGGAUAAAUAACAAAAAUAUAGUCCAUUAACAUAAUUACAAAAAAUAUAUAACACUUUAUGUUCUAUAAAGAAAUAUAUUAAAUUGCUUGUAAUGAGAAAUAAUGAAUUACAAAACGAUAUUUUAAAAUAAGAUUAUUGAAAUUAAAAGUAAAUUAACUAAUUAAAGAUUUAAAGCAUUAAUAAAAAAAUAAAACCACGAUGUUAUAAUUCACAAAACUAUACAAACUUGUUUAAACAUAUCAUUUGAUGAUCAAUUAGUAAAUUUAGUAUAUUUAUCUAAAAUUAAUAAUUUAAAUUAUUCAAUACAUUUAAUUUUGGAUUAUGCAAUAUACAACUGUUUGUACGUAAAAAUGCUUCCUGGUAGUUGAUAUUUGAAUAAAAAAAAUGGUCAUGUGUUAUAAAUAAGAUUAAUAUACUAUAUUUUAAAAAGAAUUUAUUACUUCUAUAUAACUUAAUAGAUUAAGUUAAUAAGAUAAAACAAUAUUUAUAUAAAAUGAAUAUUCAAAACUGAAUGAGACAUACUAACUUAAAUUGACAAAUAAAAAAAAACGAGACAUAACAUUUGAUAUACAUAUACAAGUCAAAUUUACAUUUGCAUUAAUAACAUAGUAAGACUUUUGCAUUGUUAGAAAGUUGGUGUUAGUUGAUAUCUGGAAUGGUUUUUUAUGCCUACAUAUUACACUUUAAAAUAGUAAAAAAAAUAAAAAAAAUAAGUUAGUUUAUAAGAUAUAUGUGACUUGUUAAAUACUAUAACCUAACUUGCUUACAUUUUGAAACGUCAUAAACAUUUGUAGAAUUUAAACUUAUGGCAAAUGAAAUAUAGUUUAAUAUGUAAAAUUACGUCAAUAAAAAACUCAAUAUGCGGCAGGCAUCGUAAAUUAUUUAAAAUACGUGUAAAUUUAUUUAUGAAAAUAGUAAUGGGACCUGAUAACAAAGCUUGUCUAGAUAUAAAUCAUAAAAAGCAUUCUCAAUGUCAUUACUUCUUCUCACUUCUUUGGUUGCAUUCCUAACUAAUAUGGAAAAAAUCAAUUCCAGAUUUGCAAGACUAAGAAUGAAAAGUGCAAUGCUAUAUUGCUUUAAAUUUUGCAAAGUGCAAUUUAUUUGAUCAGAAAAUGAUUGACAGUACAAUCCUAAAAUUCUUGAAACUCAAAAUCCAAUUAAAACCAUAAAAUUUAUUAUCAUAGAUUCGGAAAUCAAACAAUUACAUGAAAUGAAUUUUUACUUUUGUUUCAUAGAUUUAUGACAAGAUUGGUUAACAAUUAUUUUUUAUUGUAUAAUAGAUUACUUUUUGCUUCAGUGUACAACAUCUAAUAUGAAUAUAUACCGUAAAACAAUCCAUCUAAAAUACUUUUUUUAACUUUACCAAACAGUUAAAAUACAUGUUACCAACAUCAUAUCUCCGAUUUCAACUUCAAUAAUCCAAUACGCAUUUGGAAAUUUUUAUUUAAUUCACAGUUCAAUAACAUGUAUAAUUGUAGCUUCGGCCUUAGUUUUCCUUCCAUUUUUUUUGUCAUGUUGCUACUGUGUUAAAUUUUNCUUAUCUACUCUAUCAGAAGCAGUACUAUCAAAACUUUUUUCCUUCUUAUUCGUGGUUGUUGCUUUUUCCCUUUUCAUUUGGUGUUCACACCUUCAUAUAAGAAUAUUUUAUAUCAAUAACAUGUGAAAUAUGUAUGAUUGAAUGAUCGCCAUCAUAAUUGCAUGUACAUUUGUUUCAACAUCUUCAUUAGCAUCAUGAGUAGUGCAACUGAAGAUUAUUAAUAUCCCAAAUUAAAAUAUGCAUGACUCUUUCUUGUACUUAACCCUAAAAUAUAACUCAAAUNCUAACCCUAAAAUAUAACCCAAAUCAAUCUAUUUUCUUUAGUAAUUGGAUCAAAAUUGCUACUUUUACUUAUAAAUAACUCGCCAUGUAGAUAAUACAUUGAAACUUGGUAAAUAACUUAUUAGGCGAGGCCUAUGUUGAAAAUCAAUAUUUCUCUUUUAUCUUAUGACAAUAAACACCAUUCAAAAAAGCCAAUGAUGUGGUCAUAUCAAGGUCAAUUAAACAUAAAACUAGGUAAAUGACAGCUAAAAAGCCUACCCACAAUUGCAAUGACAUACCAAUUUGUUAACCAUGACCCAAGCAUGAUAACUUGUUAUGAAACAUAAAAAACUUCUCAAAGUUGACAACAUAUGGCUAAAAUAAACAAAGAAAUUAAUAAACUUUCUUAUUUCUUGCAAUUAAUCACAAAAGAAAAAAAUCAAAGUGUCGUGACCUUUGAUAGAUCACGGUGAAAGACCUGGGAUAAAUAUUAACCGGGCUCCACCCUAUAACUCACAGUAGUCCCCUCCGACGACGGUAUGGUGGUUUACCCAAACCUAAAUUUUUAAAAGUAUGAUAAGACAAUAUUAUUUAUUAUGGUAGACGUGUACUUGCAUGAGUUUUCCACGGGAAUAGUUUAUAACUAUUAAUCCAUUAUUUGAUGGUUUACGGAAUAUAUAUUUCUUACAAGUGGAUAUUAACACAAUUAUAAUUUAAUCAUGGCAACAACACUGAGAUGAAGGCCCUGCUUCGCAUGAACCUGUAGCAAAAGCUAGUUCUUGGCAAAGUUGUAAGCAGUCGAUGCUGAUUGCGUCACACCUUCCAAAACACGCUGGUCCAAGAGCUGUAUGGAUGGAAACUCAAAAUAGAUGUUUUAAUUAAAUUAUGCUUUAUCGUAAAUUUUUCUAAAUUACCCGGACAAAGAGGAAUGAUGUCAUACCUAAAAUCGGAAUACAUGUCAUGACGAUAAACCACAACACAAAAACCAUCACGACAAGAGAAUUUUUUGUUGUGUAGGCCAUUUAUUUGACAAACAAUAUUGCUUGAUUUUUAUUGUAAGAAUAGAAUUAAAAAAACGAUCGUAGUUUAUGUCGAAUUAUAACUCCUUACAUAGUCUUUCAAGUGAAGCAUAAACUUNUAGUAGUUAAAGAAGAAAAUUUAACUCGAUAACAACUUGAGAAAUAAAAAUGAAGGUAAAAUCAAGGCCUAAGCUUCAAUUGCACAUGUUAGUGAAUUGUGAAUUAAAUAAAAAAAAAUGCCCAAAUGCAUAUUGGAUUAUUGAAGUUAAAAUCGGAGAUAUGAUGUUGGCAACUUGUUUUUUAACCAUUUAGUAGAGUUAAAAAAUAGUAUUUUAGAUGGAUAAAUAACAAAAAUAUAGUCCAUUAAUAUAAUUACAAAAAAUAUAUAACACUUUAUGUUCUAUAAAGAAAUAUAUUAAAUUGCUUGUAAUGAGAAAUAAUGAAUUACAAAACGAUAUUUUAAAAUAAGAUUAUUGAAAUUAAAAGUAAAUUAACUAAUUAAAGAUUUAAAGCAUUAAUAAAAAAAUAAAACCACGAUGUUAUAAUUCACAAAACUAUACAAACUUGUUUAAACAUAUCAUUUGAUGAUCA